rnacentral:rRNA from 1 species
AAAUUGAAGAGUUUGAUCAUGGCUCAGAUUGAACGCUGGCGGCAGGCCUAACACAUGCAAGUCGAACGGUAACAGAAAGCAGCUUGCUGCUUUGCUGACGAGUGGCGGACGGGUGAGUAAUGUCUGGGAAACUGCCCGAUGGAGGGGGAUAACUACUGGAAACGGUAGCUAAUACCGCAUAACGUCGCAAGACCAAAGAGGGGGACCUUCGGGCCUCUUGCCAUCGGAUGUGCCCAGAUGGGAUUAGCUAGUAGGUGGGGUAACGGCUCACCUAGGCGACGAUCCCUAGCUGGUCUGAGAGGAUGACCAGCCACACUGGAACUGAGACACGGUCCAGACUCCUACGGGAGGCAGCAGUGGGGAAUAUUGCACAAUGGGCGCAAGCCUGAUGCAGCCAUGCCGCGUGUAUGAAGAAGGCCUUCGGGUUGUAAAGUACUUUCAGCGGGGAGGAAGGGAGUAAAGUUAAUACCUUUGCUCAUUGACGUUACCCGCAGAAGAAGCACCGGCUAACUCCGUGCCAGCAGCCGCGGUAAUACGGAGGGUGCAAGCGUUAAUCGGAAUUACUGGGCGUAAAGCGCACGCAGGCGGUUUGUUAAGUCAGAUGUGAAAUCCCCGGGCUCAACCUGGGAACUGCAUCUGAUACUGGCAAGCUUUGAGUCUCGUAGAGGGGUAGAAUUCCAGGUGUAGCGGUGAAAUGCGUAGAGAUCUGGAGGAAUACCGGUGGCGAAGGCGGCCCCCUGGACGAAGACUGACGCUCAGGUGCGAAAGCGUGGGGAGCAAACAGGAUUAGAUACCCUGGUAGUCCACGCCGUAAACGAUGUCGACUUGGAGGUUGUGCCCUUGAGGCGUGGCUUCCGGAGCUAACGCGUUAAGUCGACCGCACGGGGAGUACGGCCGCAAGGUUAAAACUCAAAUGAAUUGACGGGGGCCCGCACAAGCGGUGGAGCAUGUGGUUUAAUUCGAUGCAACGCGAAGAACCUUUACCGGGUCUUGACAUCCACGGAAGUUUUCAGAGAUGAGAAUGUGCCUUCGGGAACCGUGAGACAGGUGCUGCAUGGCUGUCGUCAGCUCGUGUUGUGAAAUGUUGGGUUAAGUCCCGCAACGAGCGCAACCCUUAUCCUUUGUUGCCAGCGGUCCGGCCGGGAACUCAAAGGAGACUGCCAGUGAUAAACUGGAGGAAGGUGGGGAUGACGUCAAGUCAUCAUGGCCCUUACGACCAGGGCUACACACGUGCUACAAUGGCGCAUACAAAGAGAAGCGACCUCGCGAGAGCAAGCGGACCUCAUAAAGUGCGUCGUAGUCCGGAUUGGAGUCUGCAACUCGACUCCAUGAAGUCGGAAUCGCUAGUAAUCGUGGAUCAGAAUGCCACGGUGAAUACGUUCCCGGCCUUGUACACACCGCCCGUCACACCAUGGGAGUGGGUUGCAAAAGAAGUAGGUAGCUUAACCUUCGGGAGGGCGCUUACCACUUUGUGAUUCAUGACUGGGGUGAAGUCGUAACAAGGUAACCGUAGGGGAACCUGCGGUUGGAUCACCUCCUUACCUUAAAGAAGC